UUGUAGUCUGGGACAAGAUGGAAAACCACUUUAUCAAGUUGACUUUUCAAAUUGAAUUUUUCCAAGUUGUGUAAAAGAAAGGCAAUGUCAUCUUUAUCAGACUCAUCCCUUAUGGAAAAGCUAAGGACUAAAACAUUGCAGCGUCCAAUGGGGGCGUUAUGGCAAUUAAGUAGCUCUAUAGGACUAGCAGUCGUUGGUGAAACAUUGAAAGGUAGAAUAUCAUAAUGUCGUCUCCAAAGAUGAGAUGCAGUCCAGAAAGUUUGAACUCUGGAUUCAGUUGCAUUUUUAGAUUUUCUGAAAAUUAGUGGAGAAAAUCUAAAUCUAAAUACGAGGGAAAUAUGAUCAUCGUAAUAAUCCGUCCCUACAUCGCCUAUUAUGGAAUGAAAAUCGAAGUCCAGACGAAAGGUUUCGAUCUGUUUGUCAAAAGAAGCAUCAAAGAGAACACAGAGCUUUUUGAAAUUAAAAUAUACAAGUAAGUUUGAUUCAGUUACAGUUAUUCCACAAUCAACACCAAACAGUGGGACAAUUCUUUCAUCAUAAACUUGCCCGAGCUUAAAGGAGGAUAACGGGAUUUUUACUAGCUGAUCGCUUCUAAAACUAUUCUUAGAGAAAACUUGUCGGCUGAUGUGGGAACGAUGUGCUGUUAUGUCAAUUUGAACAGCUAGAUCAACACCUUUGACAUUUAUUUUCCCAUUUGGUUCCCAGAAUGGAACUUUGGGAGGAGGAGCAAAUUGGACUAUUGCAGUAGUACUUGUCUGUCCAUUCAAAGGUUCAUUAAUCUUCAUGAAUUCUAUUGUACCGUAAUCAUGAAGGGGUUCCCACAAGUUGUAUAGUUUUCCUCCCUCAUUUGAAAGCCAAGUAACUGGAAUAUCUUUUAUGACAAGUGUAAUCAUAUCCCCCAAUCUCCAAGUACUACUUCUUUGGAUUAGACAAUUAUCAUUUCGUUUAUUAGCCGAGUGCAACUGAGCUUCAUUAUUGUGAACGGAAGCCCAUUUCUUUUGCUUUUUGUUUCUAUAUGGGACUCUAAGUCUUUCCCAGGGUGACUCACGAGAAUAACGUUUUAAUUUAACACUUAUAAAGUCAUUUAACGAAACUGCCAUUGCUUUACAUUGCCAUACAAAAUCUGGAUUUAAUUAUAACCCUGACAACAAAUCAAUUUGGAACCUUUUGUAAAAAUAAAACACUAAAUCUCAUAGCGCCUUUAUGCAGUAUCAGCAGCCUCGCUCUGCGAAGUGGUCUUUUAUCAUAGAAGAUUCCUUUCAGCUGGCUAUAAAUUCGUUAGAUACGAAAAACCUUCGAUUUAUAUAAAAAAGAUUAUAAUGUUCCUAUUUAUCCACUUAUACAUACAUGUAUAUGUGUGCCUUUUUAAUUUAAUUGACCGUUAUAGUAUCAAUAUCUAUGAAUUGCUCUUGAAGGAAGUUUGUAGCACGGUGGAAUAAAGUUAAGUGAAGGCUCCUUUACGUAUAGGGAAGUAGAAUCAAAAUACUAAGAAUACAUAUUCAUCCUAUAUGAACCGGCAAGUUGAAUUUCAGUUUUCAAUCCAAAGCAGAUAUUGAGGUAGUUUUUUCACCAAGGAAUAAAAAAUUGUUAGGAAACUUCCAUCAGUUAAACGACUGAUAUCAUGCACCUUAAUUCAUGUUCAAUAUCGUGUUAUAAUA
rnacentral:lncRNA from 1 species